UUUUUUUUUUUUGUCAUUGAGUAAUUUAAAACGAGUUUUACCCCAUACGAGGUUUGAGACAACAACCAAAAGAAAAACCAUAACAAAUUGGAAACCAGUAGGUCCCAUAGAACACAAACUCAACGUGAGUGAGAAAAGAGAGAUUUAGUAACCUUCUUCCACAAUGAAAAGAAAUCUCCGAGUGCACUAAUGUUGUAAGAGCUUAAGAAGAGGUUGCUUCUUCAUCAAGCAUCAUCGCCAACCACCGAGGCCCACCAGAAGACACAUAAGAAUGGAACCUUUGGCCACUUAUGACACUAUCUGCGAUUGCAGAAGCAGCCUUAUUGCAGGUACCAUGAACCAAAGCUAUAGAGCUUUUAGGAAGAGAGUACACACUACCCAAUGCCUUAUAACACUCAGCAUAAACUAAAGGAAAAUCCAGCGGGUUAUUCAGUGCAUCGGCAGCCUCCGAAGAAGAAAAUUCGAACUGAACAUUCCUCAGUUUGUGUUCCUUCACCGAUGUAGUAGCCCAAGUUAUCGCCAGCAAUCCCGCUU
rnacentral:lncRNA from 1 species